rnacentral:rRNA from 1 species
AGAGUUUGAUCCUGGCUCAGGAUGAACUUUGGCGGCGUGCCUAAUACAUGCAAGUCGAACGCACAGCGAAAGGUGCUUGCACCUUUCAAGUGAGUGGCGAACGGGUGAGUAACACGUGGAUAACCUACCUCAAGGUUGGGGAUAACAUUUGGAAACAGAUGCUAAUACCGAAUAAAACUUCGUAUCGCAUGAUACAAGGUUAAAAGGCGCUACGGCGUCACCUAGAGAUGGAUCCGCGGUGCAUUAGUUAGUUGGUGGGGUAAAGGCCUACCAAGACAAUGAUGCAUAGCCGAGUUGAGAGACUGAUCGGCCACAUUGGGACUGAGACACGGCCCAAACUCCUACGGGAGGCUGCAGUAGGGAAUCUUCCACAAUGGGCGAAAGCCUGAUGGAGCAACGCCGCGUGUGUGAUGAAGGCUUUCGGGUCGUAAAGCACUGUUGUAUGGGAAGAACAGCUAGAGUAGGGAAUGACUUUAGUUUGACGGUACCAUACCAGAAAGGGACGGCUAAAUACGUGCCAGCAGCCGCGGUAAUACGUAUGUCCCGAGCGUUAUCCGGAUUUAUUGGGCGUAAAGCGAGCGCAGACGGUUGAUUAAGUCUGAUGUGAAAGCCCGGAGCUCAACUCCGGAAAGGCAUUGGAAACUGGUCAACUUGAGUGCAGUAGAGGUAAGUGGAACUCCAUGUGUAGCGGUGGAAUGCGUAGAUAUAUGGAAGAACACCAGCGGCAAAGGCGGCUUACUGGACUGUAACUGACGUUGAGGCUCGAAAGUGUGGGUAGCAAACAGGAUUAGAUACCCUGGUAGUCCACACCGUAAACGAUGA